rnacentral:misc_RNA from 1 species
UCCUGGUUUCCCAGGCAGUCCCAUCAGAGUGCUUUACUUAAAAGUAGCAACUGACAGCAAGGGUUGCGCUCGUUAAAGGACUUAACCGAACAUCUCACGACACGAGCUGACGACAGCCAUGCAGCACCUGUUCAUUUGUCUGAGUAAACCCAGAAAGCCACAUCUCUGCAGCGGUCAAAUGUAUGUCAAACCCAGGUAAGGUUCCUCGCGUAGUGUCGAAUUAAACCACAUGUUCCACCGCUUGUGCGGACCCCCGUCAAUUCCUUUGAGUUUUAAUCUUGCGACCGUACUUCCCAGGCGGAUCACUUAACGCGUUAGCUUCGACACCGAACUGAUUAAAUCAGUCCGACGUCUAGUGAUCAUCGUUUAGGGCGUGGACUAC